AGAAGCAGGACCCCGGUGAAGAGCUCUGGUCCCAGCCGUUGGCCAACUGGCGAGACCAGCAGGGUCCCAGAGGGAAUGUGGGCUACAAGGUUGGGGAGUGGUUCCAAGGCCUUCAGAAGGAACAUUGAGGCAGCACCCACUAAAGCCAACCCCAGAAACACUCCCUCUGUGAAUAGUAGCAUGGACUUCUUGGGGUCUAAGCCGAAUUUCCAGGUCAUUGUCGACCUGUGGAUUUGUUCCCCUGCCUGGACAGGAAAAGGCCUUUGCACCUCCUGCUCUGCUCCCAACACAGCUUCUGCUCCAGCAAAGCCCACAGGCACUCAGUCCUUGAUUCCUGCACCCAUCAACCCCGCCAAGCCGCCCUCACUGUCACCAAGGCUUCCUUUGUGCCUUAGCAACAGAACCCCGGUUUUGUUCAAGGUAUCCAUGUACCCAGCCUCACCAGCAGCUGGGGCCAGCUGUGAGACUGUUUGCCCAGGGGAUGACUGCAGGAGGCACAAUCGAGCCUCCUGGUCCUUUGGAAGGAGCAGCUGUGGCCGCCCACCUCACUGACAAGAGUCUUCCUUUCUCCUUGCUCCAGCCUGAAGUAUGGGCACAGCAUCCUGAGGACAGCAGCCAUGUGGCCAGCAAGGGGCAGGGUCCCAAGCUGAGGAUGGGAGCAGCUGCCUUGGUGCCCCGAUGGCCACCAUCAGACUCAUCGCCAUCGGGAGAACCAGCCCCUGCUCCCUUUAUGGGGCUGCCUCAUUGGAUUUCGUUAGGUUUUCUGUAACUCAAGCCAGUGCCACUUCUGUUGUGGCUGAUUUGGGCUCCUAAGCUCACGGGGUGGGACCUCGUUCUAUUAGCUGUGUCCUGCCCCCCAACAAUGAUGGCUCCUUGCGGGCAGGCCCCAAGGGCGCGUUGUGGCCCCACACACAGCAAGUGCCUCACACCUGAAACAGCCUGGAGGAGCUUGUGAAGAGUGAGGGCGCGGGAGCCACACUCCCAGGUGCCUAUUUUCCACAUGUCCCCAUGCAGCCCAGGCUUCCAACCACAUCUUAAAAAAUAAAAAGAUGGGGAGGAGAGGAAAGUUUGGUCCU
rnacentral:lncRNA from 1 species